rnacentral:rRNA from 1 species
CUUUAGCAAUAACAAGUAUUAAAGGUCCCGCCUGCCCAGUGAUAUAUUUAACGGCCGCGGUAUUCUAACCGUGCAAAGGUAGCGUAAUCACUUGUCUUCUAAAUAAAGACCAGUAUGAACGGCUAAAUGAGGACAGGCCUGUCUCCUACAACUAAUCAGUGAAACUGAUCUUCCAGUACAAAAGCUGGAAUACGCACAUUAGACGAGAAGACCCUGUGGAGCUUCAAGCCAACUAUUAAAAAGCACACCACAGCACCUAAUACACGGCUUUAAGUUGGGGCGACUUCGGAAAAAAACAAAACUUCCGAGCAGAGAACCACAAAUUCUAACAAUGGCCAACAAGCCAAAGUUUAAUCCACACCAGACCCAGUACCACUGAUCAACGAACCAAGUUACCCCAGGGAUAACAGCGCUAUCUUCUUCAAGAGUCCAUAUCGACAAGAAGGUUUACGACCUCGAUGUUGGAUCAGGACACCCAAAUGGUGCAGCCGCUAUUAAUGGUUCGUUUGUUCAACGAUUAACAGUCCUACGUGAUCUGAGUUCAGACCGGAGUAAUCCAGGUCGGUUU